CCUACGGGCGGCAGCAGUGGGGAAUUUUGCGCAAUGCUCGUAAGAGUGACGCAGCGACGCCGCGUGAAUGACGAAGGCCUUCGGGUCGUAAAGUUCUUUCGACAGGGAAGAAAAUGCCUAUAAGUAACUGUGUAUGUAUUGACGGUACCUGUAUAAGCAGCACCGGCUAACUCCGUGCCAGCAGCCGCGGUAAUACGGAGGGGGCGAGCGUUGUUCGGAGGGACUGGGCGUAAAGAGCACGUAGGCGGUGUUGUAAGUCAUUAGUCAAAGACUAGAGCUCAACUUUAGUAAGGCUAGUGAUACUAUAAUACUAGAGUAUCAGAGAGGAUUGCAGAAUUCCUGGUGUAGCGGUGAAAUGCGUAGAUAUCAGGAGGAAUACCGUUAGCGAAGGCGGCAAUCUGGCUGGAAACUGACGCUGAGGUGCGAAAGCGUGGGUAGCAAACAGGAUUAGAUACCCUAGUAGUC
rnacentral:rRNA from 1 species